GGCAAAUGAGAUUGCUCCACCAGCCAUUUCAAAUGCACACACCUGGGCUUAGGUACAAAUUGGAUAUGGCUACUGAUCUCAAGUUGGGUCAGAGCUGGCUUGGAUUCGCACGAAACAGCAGCAGCUAACAAGAAACUACAGGAUACCUCUAGAUAGUAGCUAACGGUAUGCGUACACAGAUUCGAAAUCCAGUGGUGGGAGCACACUGGUGUCAGAGUAAAAGGCUUUUACCUCAGGCCAAAUUCACUCAUCAUAUUGUUGUCCAACAACUGGGGACAAUGUGCUUCUGACCCCAGAACUUCUUCAGUUGUAUGUCUGGCUGCUUGGACAGUUUAGCCGAUUUAAAAAACUCACUUGUGUGACCUUCUUCUGGUAAGGCCUUUGCACGGAUCAUCCUCUCUUGGCCCUUCUUUGAUCACCACCAGCAAAGUAUAGUUAUCACACUGGGGAAUAAUAGCUUAAUAUUCAGAUCUCAGCUAUUCUUUCACCUCAGCUUUAUCUGGUCAACUGACUUCCUCAACCUACGUUACUUCUGACAGCUAACUGCCAUUUCUUCACGGGCUGGAACCUCCAGUCAAUCAAUCUGUAGUUUCCCAGACCAAUCAAAAUGAAUUUACCCAAUCCAAGCCCUGUCUAUAAAUACUAAAAGCAACACACGCACACGCACCCCUUGCCACCAAAUAGUUAUUGCCAAUCAAGUCUGCAUCAUAGUAGCAGCAUAAGGCCUUGAUCUUGGACAGUUAUUUUCUGACAUCGGAGAGGACAUCUUUGUUUGAGGCUCUGUCUUGCUAUGUGAUUUCACAAAUCUUCCAGACACAGCUCAUGUAGAAGGCAUUGAGGCAUUGCUCCUGGCGGUUGUACGUUGCCCAUGGCUCGCUUCAUUAAAGCAGCAUGCUCAACACACAAGCCUGGUAAACCUUCAUUUUUAUAUUGGUCAUUAGCAUCACAUUCUUCCACCCUGUUUUGGAGAGGUGACCCAUUGCCAUAGCUGCCUUGCCAAGGCGCUUGUCCAGCUCAGUGUCAAUGGAGAAGUGGAGUCCAGGUAGACAAAAUUGUCUAUCACCUCAAGCAUGUGGUCACCAAUGCUGAUGUGUGGAGUGCUGGCAGUGUCUGGGCCCAAGGAUGUUGGGCUUUGUCAGGCUGGUGGUACCGGUACCACAAACAUACAUUUUUAGCUCACAGUGAUGUAAUUCAGGGGAAAUGUUAAUAUUUCACAGACAUGCUGGAACAUUCAGUCCUAAGGCCAAUAAACAAACUAGGAGCGAACAAGUUGCCUUCAAACAGGAACCCAAACAUUUGUACAGUAAAUAUGAUCUCUGAAUAGAUGAGAUAUUUCAGCUUGAGUGCCUUCUGUGGCCUGGAGAAAGAGGCUUAUAUGGUCAUCAUUCUGGGGCAUCCAUGCAACACAGAAAGAAGAAAAGGAUCCAGUACAAAAAAGAAAAGAAAAGAGAGAGAUGUUGUCUUUACAAGGGAACUUUAGUCUUGUGUCCCUGAGGAAGGCUGUCAUCAAUCAAAAUGUAUUUGUUCACAGGUUGUUUUCCUGGUCCUUUGAUUCAAGUUUUCUUGGCUAAAAGUGACAAAUAGACAUAUGAAUUGUUGGAUCAUUUUUAAAAAGACAUUUAAGCUACUGGCUCUCACUACAUUUUGUGGUAGCGAAUUCUGGAAAUUAAUUAUGAUCCUCUUUACUUGUAAAUUAUAUCCCCUCCCCAUGCUGUCUGCAUGCCUUUGGUUAGGCUGCAUUAACUGAGUUGUCCCAUUGUAUAGGAUUUUUCUUAUUUGUUUAUUUAAGACAUUUAUAUACAACUUAAUUCUAUGCAGUUCUAAGAGGUGUCCCAUAAAAUCAGCUCACAGAAAUUGAGGCAAUAAAACAGCAAAAAUUAUCAUAAAACCAAAUGCUACCUUAAAAUGCCCUCUGGAACAGGAAAGUCUCAAGUCAAGCAUUUGAAGUUUAUCUAAACUCAGCUGGGAGGGAGUUUUCUGGACUUGCAUAGCUUUUAGUAGUUACAAGUCAUGCCUCUGAGCCUUGGGGGACCACCAGUAGAGGUUCCCCACAAUAUCUCUGUUUGUUAACAUGUGGGAUUUACUGAAACUUGGUGAUGUCCUCUAGCUUUUUUUUUUUUAAAGGAUUAAGCAAGCUCAUAGAAUCAGCCAAUGGCUGUUAGACAUGAUAGCUAACUUGUGAACCACCAUGCAAAGCACAGCUCAACCAAAUUUCACAUCCUCCCAAUUCUGUAACAGUCUCCUGGUUUCUGCAAUCAGUUCCAAUGUGGCAAAAAGUGAAACAGGAAGUUUCAGCUCCUACUGAACUAUCAUAUGUGACUGGUUGGUUCUGUUCAGCUUGGUAAGUUACAAAUUGUGCAGCCCUGCUUAAUCGAACUUCUCUAACUAGAGGCAGUCUACCUCUGAAAAGGGAUGCAAGUGGCGUUGUGGUCUAAGCCACUGAGCCUUGGGCUUGCCGAUCGGAAGGUCGGCAGUUCGAAUCCCCACGAUGGGGUGAGCUCCCCUUGUUCAGUCCCAGCUCCUGCCAACCUAACAGUUCGAAAGCACGUCAAAGUGCAAGUAGAUAAAUAGGCACCACUCCGGCAGGAAGGUAAAUAGCGUUUCCGUGCACUGCUCUGGUUUCGCCUGAAGUGGCUUAGUCAUGCUGGCCACAUGACCCAGAAGCUGUACGCCGGCACCCUUAGCCAGUAAAGUGAGAUGAGCGCCACAACCCCAGAGUCGUUCGCGACUGGACUUAAGUGUCAGGGGUCCUUUACCUUUACCUCUGAAAUGCUGGUUAUGAUCUUCCAUCCAUCUGUGCCUUAAGACUCCAUGUUGGUUUUUCCUUUCUUAAACAGCUACCCUUUUGGAAUUUGGUAAAAGCAGAAAUUCAAACAAGUAAUAUUUUCUAGAAAAUUCACAUGUGUAAAGACAUAUUUGGGCUCGAUACACUGCCUACUGUGGUACCCGAUAGCUGCUGCCACCGUCUUAUUUUGUAGCAUCAUUGUGUGCUCUGACGCUUUGGGUCUUUCAACUGCUUUGUCCCAUCUUUUUUCUGCAGAGAACUGUCUAGCUCUUCACAUCUUGACCUGGUCUCUUGCAGAACCCCUGAAUCUCGCUGGAUGUUGUCAGUGACUAAUGAGUAAGGCGAUGUAAUGAAAAACACAAAGGGGAGGGGAAAGGCGAAGGGGCUGCUGCGCCGGAAUAUGACAGUCAACCCCACACCUAACAAAGGAAAACAGCAUAAGAGAUGCCACAGCGCCCUCUGUUCCUCUUCACCAAAGUCCUCUACAAAAUCAACAAAAGAUAGCACUGCAGUUCUCUCUAGGUUAUUUCCCCCCGCCUCUGAAGCUACA
rnacentral:lncRNA from 1 species